GAGUUUGAUCCUGGCUCAGGAUGAACGCUGGCGGUAUGCCUUACACAUGCAAGUCGUACGAGAGUUUUUAACUCUAGUGGCGGACGGGUGAGUAACACGUAAGAAUUUGCCUUUAGGAGGGGGAUAACAGCUGGAAACGGCUGCUAAUACCCCAUAUGCUUUCGAGUGAAAUGGAUUUAUCCGCCUAAAGAGGAGCUUGCGGCUGAUUAGCUUGUUGGUGGGGUAAUGGCCCACCAAGGCGACGAUCAGUAUCUGGUUUGAGAGGACGAUCAGACACACUGGAACUGAGACACGGUCCAGACUCCUACGGGAGGCAGCAGUGGGGAAUUUUCCGCAAUGGGCGAAAGCCUGACGGAGCAAUACCGCGUGAGGGAUGACGGCCUAUGGGUUGUAAACCUCUUUUUUCAGGGAGGAAUCAAUGACGUGUACCUGAAGAAUAAGCAUCGGC
rnacentral:rRNA from 1 species